rnacentral:rRNA from 1 species
UACGUAGGGGGCAAGCGUUGUCCGGAUUUAUUGGGCGUAAAGAGCGUGUAGGCGGCCAGGUAGGUCCGUUGUGAAAACUCGAGGCUCAACCUCGAGACGCCGGUGGAAACCGUAAGGCUAGAGUCCGGAAGAGGAGAGUGGAAUUCCUGGUGUAGCGGUGAAAUGCGCAGAUAUCAGGAGGAACACCCGUGGCGAAAGCGGCUCUCUGGGACGGUACUGACGCUGAGACGCGAAAACGUGGGGAGCAAACAGG